rnacentral:rRNA from 1 species
UACGAAGGGUGCAAACGUUGCUCGGAAUCAUUGGGCGUAAAGCGCACGUAGGCGGCUUCGCAAGUCGGGGGUGAAAUCUUUCGGCUCAACCGGGAAAUGGCCAUUGAUACUGUCAGACUUGAAUUAUUAGGAAGUAACUAGAAUAUGUAGUGUAGCGGUGAAAUGCUUAGAGAUUACAUGGAAUACCAAUUGCGAAGGCAGGUUACUACUAAUGGAUUGACGCUGAUGGACGAAAGCGUGGGUAGCGAACAGG